rnacentral:rRNA from 1 species
GAUGAACGCUGGCGGCGUGCCUAAUACAUGCAAGUCGAGCGAAUGGAUUGAGAGCUUGCUCUCAAGAAGUUAGCGGCGGACGGGUGAGUAACACGUGGGUAACCUGCCCAUAAGACUGGGAUAACUCCGGGAAACCGGGGCUAAUACCGGAUAACAUUUUGAACUGCAUGGUUCGAAAUUGUAAGGCGGCUUCGGCUGUCACUUAUGGAUGGACCCGCGUCGCAUUAGCUAGUUGGUGAGGUAACGGCUCACCAAGGCAACGAUGCGUAGCCGACCUGAGAGGGUGAUCGGCCACACGGGGACUGAGACACGGCCCAGACUCCUACGGGAGGCAGCAGUAGGGAAUCUUCCGCAAUGGACGAAAGUCUGACGGAGCAACGCCGCGUGAGUGAUGAAGGCUUUCGGGUCGUAAAACUCUGUUGUUAGGGAAGAACAAGUGCUAGUUGAAUAAGCUGGCACCUUGACGGUACCUAACCAGAAAGCCACGGCUAACUACGUGCCAGCAGCCGCCGCCG